GAUGAACGCUGGCGGCGUGCUUAACACAUGCAAGUCGAACGAAGCAUUUAAGACAGAUUACUUCGGUUUGCAGUCUUUUAUGACUGAGUGGCGGACGGGUGAGUAACGCGUGGGUAACCUGCCUCAUACAGGGGGAUAGCAGCUGGAAACGGCUGGUAAUACCGCAUAAGCGCACAGUACCACAUGGUACAGUGUGAAAAACUCCGGUGGUAUGAGAUGGACCCGCGUCUGAUUAGCUUGUUGGCGGGGUAACGGCCCACCAAGGCGACGAUCAGUAGCCGAGCUGAGAGGGUGACCGGCCACAUUGGGACUGAGACACGGCCGAGACUCCUACGGGAGGCAGCAGUGGGGAAUAUUGCACAAUGGAGGAAACUCUGAUGCAGCGACGCCGCGUGAGUGAAGAAGUAGUUCGAUAUGUAAAGCUCUAUCAGCAGGGAAGAUAGUGACGGUACCUGACCAAGAAGCUCCGGCUAAAUACGUG
rnacentral:rRNA from 1 species